UGUUUAGAAUUCCUGAGACCUCAUCUUCUGAGCCGAUCACCAUGUUCUUUGAGAAAGCAGUGUGCCUCCUCGCCAUGAUCGUUAUGCUUGUCACAAUGGCUGAGCCAUUUCCACUUGGGCCAAGGCUCUGGGCCCCAGUCCCUGCAGUUGUCGACAAGGACAAGAUGUAGAGCCACCAGGCAUCCAUUGAAGCCUGUAAUCACUACAAACAUUGUGUAGUCAAAUGAAAUAAAAAAGUCCUGCAUAUUUAUCUA